rnacentral:rRNA from 1 species
UACGUAGGGUGCGAGCGUUAAUCGGAAUUACUGGGCGUAAAGGGCGCGUAGGCGGCGCGGUAAGUCACUUGUGAAAUCUCUGAGCUUAACUCAGAACGGCCAAGUGAUACUGCAGUGCUAGAGUGUGGAAGGGGCAAUCGGAAUUCUUGGUGUAGCGGUGAAAUGCGUAGAUAUCAAGAGGAACACCUGAGGUGAAGACGGGUUGCUGGGCCAACACUGACGCUGAUGCGCGAAAGCCAGGGGAGCAAACGGG